AAGCCUUUCUUGUCCCUUAGCAUGCAUUGCUACGCCAUCAUUUCCUUUCUUUUAUUAUACAGAUAAUUACUUAAGUGAUUUUAGACGAUCCAUCUAUGAAGAAGAAGGUGUAGAGAGAGAGAGCUUCCACACCUCAAGCACUACUACUCUUAGAUUAGUCGUACCACUCACGCAUGUGUUUACUAAUCUUAUGUCAAUUAUAAAAACAUAUGCAUCUCAAUGCAUCAUGCAUGUAUAGUUUAUAUAAGAUUUUCAGUAGAAUCACUUCAUUGAAUGCACACAGUGGAGAAGUAGCGUAAACGGUGCUCACUCCAUCUCACAACCUUCCCGUUGACUUACUUACCUUCACUCCU